rnacentral:tRNA from 1 species
GAUCCCGUAGCUCAGCGGUAGAGCAUUUGACUUUUAAUCAAAGGGUCGAUGGUUCGAGACCAUCCGGGAUCA